rnacentral:lncRNA from 1 species
GCCAGAUAGGGUCUCUGGGUCACAGAGACAGUAUGUAGACAAAUGAGCAUGGCUGUAUUCCCAUAAAACUUUAUUUACAAAAACAGGCAGUGGCCGGAUUGGGCUCUCGAGGUGCAGCUGGUCUCAUUCUCGCUGCUCUGGCUGCUCCAGCUGCUCCCUCUGCCUGGAACCCUCCUCCUGCUCCUUGGGAGAAAACAGCCUCUGGUUAACAGCACACAUCACCCUGCAGCAAGCGUUCUGCGUGGCCCCCUGAGUUAUUCUGCUCAUUGCUUCCUGCCAGGCUCUGUCUCAUCUCCCGUUGGAAUGCAGACUUCAUGUGAGUGGGUAUCCCUGUUUGGUUCCCUCCUGUCUCUCAGACACCUAGAACAGUGCUUGGACAUAGCAAAAGCUCCAUCAAUCUCUGAUGAAUGGAUGGAUGGAUAAACAGAUGGGCGAGGCAGGACCGGAAAGGAAGAGAUCAUUUCCAAAUGGACUUAGAAACAACAACAAAAAAGCCACACUGCACACCAUAAUCUCU